GGGAGGCUUGCGACAUCGAUGUCGGUUCUUCGCAUCCUGGCCGUGCAGCAGCGGCCAAGGGUAGGGUUGUUCGCCCGUUAAAGCGGAUCGUGAGCUGGGUUUAGACCGUCGUGAGACAGGUCGGACGCUAUCUUGCGGGAGUGUUGGAUGCCUGAGGGGAAGGUAGCUUCAGUACGAGAGGAACGAGUUGCCGGCGCCUCUAGUGUACCGGUUGUCCGAGAGGGCAUAGCCGGGUAGCCACGCGCCGGUCAAUAAGGCCUGAAAGCAUCUAAGGCCGAAGUGACUCCCGAUAAUAGGCAUCC
rnacentral:rRNA from 1 species